UUGCUUUACUAGUGUACAUAUACAAAAAUUACAAAUAUGCAGAAACAGAUUAGCAUGGCACGUGCGAAAAAAUGACAGGCAAAAUUGUAAUGCGUUCCAGAUAUUU